CAGCCGCCACGGGAAUACAGAGGGUGCGAGCGUUAAUCGGAUUUACUGGGCGUAAAGCGUGCGUAGGCGGCUAAUUGAGUCGGAUGUGAAAUCCCCGAGCUUAACUUGGGAAUUGCAUUCGAUACUGGUUAGCUAGAGUGUGGGAGAGGAUGGUAGAAUUCCAGGUGUAGCGGUGAAAUGCGUAGAGAUCUGGAGGAAUACCGAUGGCGAAGGCAGCCAUCUGGCCUAACACUGACGCUGAGGUACGAAAGCAUGGGGAGCAAACAGGAUUAGAGACCCGCGUAGUCCCUGUCUCUUAUAC
rnacentral:rRNA from 1 species